AUGUUGAAGUGCACCCAAACGUCCCAGGAGAGCAUGGAAAGAACACACUGCCACGCGGAAGUGAGCAUUCCCAGACAGAAAAUGUUGGGGAUUAAAGGGCGAGGAGCACAUGCAGGGUAUCUAGCCGGAUGGCUAGGAAUUGGGUUGAGGGUUGAAGUGAAAGGGGAGAUGGGUGAUAAGUUUCCAAAAAGGUUGGGCUUAAACACGAUGAACCUAAUGUUAGGAAUGUGCUUCAUUUCUAAAACAAGAUGCUGGGCUGCAAAAAGAUCGGACCUUGACAAUUUGUGCAGCAUUGGAAGUUGUAGCAUUCCACCAAAACUGAUGCUCGUGACAAGCCAUCGCUUAAAUUCAUCAAAGGACUGCAUAACUUCUACGGCAUGCUUAACAGAUAUACGUCAGCCGCCGUCUCCCCCUCACAGUUGCCUUCGUCAGACAUAUGCUUCCUGUAAGAAAUUAAACAUUUAG
rnacentral:rRNA from 1 species